AAUUACUUUUCAGAUGAAGGAAGAUCGGAAGUCUUGUACCAUGCUCCCGGGAGGAGAGUCGAGGGGCGUCUACUCCAGCCUUCCUUCGGAGGAUGUCCUCACUGUGAACAGACGUCCCUGAGCCGGCUACAGGCCCAACCCAGACCUCCGCAAAGGCGCUCUCCAAAACGGGGUCUAAGGAGCCUUGGCAGCUUAGCAUCACAUGUCAAAUGGGUCAGAGCCACUGAGGUUAACAUCUGAACUCCACAGCUGGCUCUGUCAUGCAAGAACGCUCUCUGCACCGAUCUGCUCCUGCCAAGUGACUUUAAAGGGAUUAAAAAAAAAAAACUUGGGGAAGAAAGAGGAAAAAAAUACGCAUAAGCUUUUUGGAGGGCGGUGGGCGAUCGAGGUGGGAGGGUGGUGGGGAAGAUUACGAAGAAAGAGUUUGACAGCCCAGCCCAAGUCCCAAGUGGCCUUCGGGUCCUGGGCUGUGGGGAUGGGCGGGGAGCGAGGCCCGAGGGAAUGAGCGGCGGGAACGGGGCAAGGAGCGCGUGGAGACAACGCAGAGGCUCUUUGGGGCUGAGGGGUUCAGCCCCCGCCUCAGAUCCAGCUCCAGCCCCGACCCCGGCUCCUUUCCCAGGCCACUACCUGCUCCCCUCCCCGAGGAUGGAUUUACAAAUGCCCCCGGCCCCCUGGGAGCCACAAAGGAGGAGGAGGAUGCCUCCGCCCCGAGCCGCCAGCCCCUUCUGAGCGAGCCCGGGCGCCACCAGGGUGAGAGAGGCCGGGCGAUUGGGGGUCCCCGCUCCGACUGGCCAGGGGGGCGAGACCCCUUCUCCCACCUCCCCCGGCCCACCCUGCCACCCGGUCGUCUCCUGCCGACCCAGAAGUUCCACGUGGGUGCCGGCAGCCCCGGCGGAUAGAACCGGACCGGACAGGGCCGGGCCAGGCCUGGCCCAGAGCAGGCCCGGGGAGCAAGCGGCCUCCUCCAGGCCUCCAGCUCGGCACCCACCGCGAGCCGGACCGAACUCCACGCUCGGCCGGGGUCGCCCGUGCCGGGGCAUCGAGCCCGCGGAAAGCCAGAAGAACGCGCUCCGGAGCCUUCCGCCCUCUCCGCCCUCCGCCCUCUGCCCAGCGCCUCGCAGCUGGCCCGAAAAACCCAAGCCCGGCGGAGCGAGACGCACCUCGUUUAAAACAAAAAAUGUAAGUUGAACAAAAC